rnacentral:misc_RNA from 1 species
UUUCCGUAGGUGAACCUGCGGAAGGAUCAUUAACACGUAUCCAUGUUGAAUCACCGCGAAUUCUUAGGGUAGGCUUAUUUGAGAAAAGGCCUAACUUUGAGGACAGCUCUACUCUAUUCUCGACUUAGCGGUUGAGUUAGAGAUAUCAAAUAGGCUCCUUUGCAUACCUUCGGAGGCGUUCCUGAUCGGAGAAUUGAAACCCCUUUUUAUCAAAUAAAGGCCGUCUCUUUGCAUACCGCUUUUAACCGAAUGCUGUACAACUCUUAGCAACGGAUAUUUUGGUUCUG